rnacentral:rRNA from 1 species
GGAAUAAGUAACGAUAAGGAGGGUUAGAUUCCCUCCCGCUGUAAGACCAAGGUUUCCCGGGCAAUGCCAAUCAGCCCGGGGACAGUCGGGUCCUAAGUCUAAGCCGAACGGCGAUGGCGAUGGCAGAGACGGUUAAUAUUCCGUCACUGCCGCACGGGGCGACGUGGAGACGGAGCAGUGAAACCACCGCGGGGCGACGGAAGUCCCCGUUGAAGAGUGUAGGCGUUGAGGAUGGCAGGCAAAUCCACCGUCCGAGCUGAACUUGAUAGUAUGGAGUCUUCUUCGGAAGAAUCCAAUAGUGUGGGUAAUCAUACUCCCGAGAAAAUCCGCUAAGCUUAACCCAUGCGGCACCCGUACCGCAAACGGACACACGUGGUCGGGUAGAACAUACUGAGGCGUUGAGAGAUUCAUGGUUAAGGAACUAGGCAAAUUGACCCUGUAACUUCGGGAUAAAGGGUCCUCGUGAAGAGCGAGGCGCAGAGAAUAGGUCCAGGCAACUGUUUAACAAAAACACAGGGCUGUGCAAACUCGAAAGAUGACGUAUACAGCCUGACACCUGCCCGGUGCCGGAAGGUUAAGAGGAGAUGUCACACUUAUGUGGAAGCAUUGAAUUGAAGCCCCGGUAAACGGCGGCCGUAACAAUAACGGUCCUAAGGUAGCGAAAUUCCUUGUCGGGUAAGUUCCGACCUGCACGAAUGGUGUAAUGAUCCGGACGCUGUCUCAACCAUGAGCUCAGUGAAAUUGUAGUAUCGGUGAAGAUGCCGAUUACCCGCGAUGGGACGAAAAGACCCCGUGAACCUUUACUACAGCUUAGCAUUGACCUUGGUCAUCCGAUGUGUAGGAUAGGCCGGAGGCUUCGAAGCGGGAGCGCCAGCUUUCGUGGAGCCAUCCUUGAAAUACGGCCCUUUGGCUGUCUGAGGUCUAACGCGCGAUGCGCGGACACUGCUUGGUGGGUAGUUUGACUGGGGUGGUCGCCUCCAAAAGCGUAACGGAGGCUUCCAAAGGUGCCCUCGGGUCGAUUGGUAACCGACCUCAAAGAGUGCAAUGGCAUAAGGGCGCUUGACUGGGAGGCAGACAUGCCGAGCAGGCAGGAAACUGGGGCAUAGUGAUCCGGCGGAUGUGUAUGGAAACUCCGUCGCUCAAAGGAUAAAAGGUACUCCGGGGAUAACAGGCUGAUCCCCCCCAAGAGCUCAUAUCGACGGGGUGGUUUGGCACCUCGAUGUCGGCUCGUCACAUCCUGGGGCUGGAGAAGGUCCCAAGGGUUGGGCUGUUCGCCCAUUAAAGUGGCACGCGAGCUGGGUUCAGAACGUCGUGAGACAGUUCGGUCUCUAUCUAUCGUGGGCGUGGGAGUUUUGCGUGGUGCCGUCACUAGUACGAGAGGACCGUGAUGGACAGACCUCCGGUUUACCAGUUGUGCCGCCAGGCGCACCGCUGGGUAUCUGAGUCUGGAUUGGAUAAGCGCUGAAAGCAUCUAAGUGCGAAGCCAGCCGCAAGAUGAGAACUCCAUUGAGGGUCGUCAGAGACGAUGACGUUGAUAGGAUGCAGGUGUAAAGACAGCGAUGUCAAAGCCGAGCAUUACUAAUUGCCC